ACAAUUUAAUAAUGCUAGAAAACCCAAAGUGUUAAGAAACUCUGGAAAAACUAAUCACAAAGGACCCAAAAGACUCUGGGUACCAAAGGAUAACGUUGUUUAUGUUGCAGAUAUCUUAUGCAGCAGAGUUAAAACACCAGUCAUGGUACCUGGACUCUAGAUGCUCGCGACACAUGACGGGAAGAAAGUCUAUGUUCUAAAGCCUGGAACUUAAAGAUGCUGGAUUCGUAGGCUUCGAAGGAGACCAGAAAGGAAGGAUCAGAGGCUCCUG
rnacentral:lncRNA from 1 species